UUUCCGUAGGUGAACCUGCGGAAGGAUCAUUAGUGAAUAAACAAGUGCAGGUUGUGCUGGCCUUCCUGGGUAUGUGCACGCCUGCCAGCUUCAUUCCAUCUUCCCACCUGUGCACUCUGUGUAGAUUCUGUAUGCUAUUGUCAAGCCUUUAUUGUGCUUGGUUGAGAGGAGUUGCUUGUUUCACCAACAAGCUCUUCUUGGGCAUGCAGGUCUAUGUUUAUAUCAACACCAUAUGAAUGUUUUAGAAUGUGCUUUAGGCUUUUUGGCCUUUAAAUUAUAUACAACUUUCAACAACGGAUCUCUUGGCUCUC
rnacentral:misc_RNA from 1 species